rnacentral:rRNA from 1 species
GACGAACGCUGGCGGCGUGCCUAAUACAUGCAAGUCGAGCGAAGUUUUUCUGGUGCUCUGCACUAGAAAAACUUAGCGGCGAACGGGUGAGUAACACGUAAAGAACCUGCCUCAUAGACGGGGACAACUAUUGGAAACGAUAGCUAAUACCGGAUAACAACAUAAAUCGCAUGAUAUAUGUUUAAAAGUUGGUUUCGGCUAACACUAUGAGAUGGCUUUGCGGUGCAUUAGCUAGUUGGUGGGGUAAAGGCCUACCAAGGCGACGAUGCAUAGCCGACCUGAGAGGGUGAUCGGCCACACUGGGACUGAGACACGGCCCAGACUCCUACGGGAGGCAGCAGUAGGGAAUCUUCCGCAAUGGGCGAAAGCCUGACGGAG